rnacentral:tRNA from 1 species
UGGCGGGUAGCUCAGUGGUAGAGUGCUUUACCCUUAUUCACUCUUUGCCUGCAAAGGCCGAAGAAUUGAGGGUUAUCGAUUAGGGUUCGAGAGGUCGCAGGUACCCUUCGGAAAGCCGCCACCGCGUCUACAAAUCCUGCCCUGCCAC